AUUGAACGCUGGCGGCAUGCCUUACACAUGCAAGUCGAGCGGUAACACGCUUUCAGCUUCCUAUUACUGGUGGCCGGUUGCGUACUGGAUCGGAAUGCACCCAAAUGUGCUUUUUCGUGCAGCAAAAGGUGUGCUAACAUACCAUAUUAUCUGAUACUGCCUGCGGGUGACCGCACAGGAAUUUUUGGCCUUGCGCGUUUGGAUGAGCCGAUGUCGGAUUAGCUAGUUGGGGGGGUAAAGGCCUACCAAGGCGACGAUCCGUAGCUGGUCUGAGAGGAUGAACAGCCAAAAUGGAACUUGGAAAAGGGCCAGAAUCCUAAGGGAGGCAGCAGGGGGGAAUAUUGGAAAAUGGGCGCAAGCCUGAACCAGGCAUACCGCGUGGGGGAAGAAGGCCUUCGGGUUGGAAAACCGUUUUGUUGGGAAAGAAAAGGGGGAGGUUAAAAACCGGCUGUUAUGAAGGUACCCAAAGAAUAAGCACCGGCUAACUACGUG
rnacentral:rRNA from 1 species